UAAGUUAGAAAGGGCGCACGGUGGAUGCCUUGACACUAGGAGUCGAUGAAGGACGGGACUAACGCCGAUAUGCUUCGGGGAGCUGUAAGUAAGCUUUGAUCCGAAGAUUUCCGAAUGGGGAAACCCACCAUACGUAAUGGUAUGGUAUCCUUAUCUGAAUACAUAGGGUAAGGAAGACAGACCCAGGGAACUGAAACAUCUAAGUACCUGGAGGAAGAGAAAGCAAAUGCGAUUUCCUGAGUAGCGGCGAGCGAAACGGAACAUAGCCCAAACCAAGAGGCUUGCCUCUUGGGGUUGUAGGACAUUCUAUACGGAGUUACAAAGGAACGAGGUAGACGAAGCGACCUGGAAAGGUCCGUCGUAGAGGGUAACAACCCCGUAGUCGAAACUUCGUUCUCUCUUGAAUGUAUCCUGAGUACGGCGGAACACGUGAAAUUCCGUCGGAAUCUGGGAGGACCAUCUCCCAAGGCUAAAUACUCCCUAGUGAUCGAUAGUGAACCAGUACCGUGAGGGAAAGGUGAAAAGCACCCCGGAAGGGGAGUGAAAGAGAUCCUGAAACCGUGUGCCUACAAAUAGUCAGAGCCCGUUAACGGGUGAUGGCGUGCCUUUUGUAGAAUGAACCGGCGAGUUACGAUCCCGUGCGAGGUUAAGCUGAAGAGGCGGAGCCGCAGCGAAAGCGAGUCUGAAUAGGGCGUUUAGUACGUGGUCGUAGACCCGAAACCAGGUGAUCUACCCAUGUCCAGGGUGAAGUUCAGGUAACACUGAAUGGAGGCCCGAACCCACGCACGUUGAAAAGUGCGGGGAUGAGGUGUGGGUAGCGGAGAAAUUCCAAUCGAACCUGGAGAUAGCUGGUUCUCCCCGAAAUAGCUUUAGGGCUAGCCUUAAGUGUAAGAGUCUUGGAGGUAGAGCACUGAUUGGACUAGGGGUCCUCAUCGGAUUACCGAAUUCAGUCAAACUCCGAAUGCCAAUGACUUAUCCUUAGGAGUCAGACUGCGAGUGAUAAGAUCCGUAGUCAAAAGGGAAACAGCCCAGACCGCCAGCUAAGGUCCCAAAGUGUGUAUUAAGUGGAAAAGGAUGUGGAGUUGCUUAGACAACUAGGAUGUUGGCUUAGAAGCAGCCACCAUUUAAAGAGUGCGUAAUAGCUCACUAGUCGAGUGACUCUGCGCCGAAAAUGUACCGGGGCUAAAUACACCACCGAAGCUGCGGAUUGAUACCAAUGGUAUCAGUGGUAGGGGAGCGUUCUAAGGACAGUGAAGUCAGACCGGAAGGACUGGUGGAGUGCUUAGAAGUGAGAAUGCCGGUAUGAGUAGCGAAAGACGGGUGAGAAUCCCGUCCACCGAAUGCCUAAGGUUUCCUGAGGAAGGCUCGUUCGCUCAGGGUUAGUCAGGACCUAAGCCGAGGCCGACAGGCGUAGGCGAUGGACAACAGGUUGAUAUUCCUGUACCACCUCUUUAUCGUUUGAGCAAUGGAGGGACGCAGAAGGAUAGAAGAAGCGUGCGAUUGGUUGUGCACGUCCAAGCAGUUAGGCUGAUAAGUAGGCAAAUCCGCUUAUCGUGAAGGCUGAGCUGUGAUGGGGAAGCUCCUUAUGGAGCGAAGUCUUUGAUUCCCCGCUGCCAAGAAAAGCUUCUAGCGAGAUAAAAGGUGCCUGUACCGCAAACCGACACAGGUAGGCGAGGAGAGAAUCCUAAGGUGUGCGAGAGAACUCUGGUUAAGGAACUCGGCAAAAUGACCCCGUAACUUCGGGAGAAGGGGUGCUUUCUUAACGGAAAGCCGCAGUGAAUAGGCCCAAGCGACUGUUUAGCAAAAACACAGCUCUCUGCGAAGCCGUAAGGCGAAGUAUAGGGGGUGACACCUGCCCGGUGCUGGAAGGUUAAGGAGAGGGGUUAGCGUAAGCGAAGCUCUGAACUGAAGCCCCAGUAAACGGCGGCCGUAACUAUAACGGUCCUAAGGUAGCGAAAUUCCUUGUCGGGUAAGUUCCGACCCGCACGAAAGGUGUAACGAUUUGGGCACUGUCUCAACCAGAGACUCGGUGAAAUUAUAGUACCUGUGAAGAUGCAGGUUACCCGCGACAGGACGGAAAGACCCCGUGGAGCUUUACUGUAGCCUGAUAUUGAAUUUUGGUACAGUUUGUACAGGAUAGGCGGGAGCCUUUGAAACCGGAGCGCUAGCUUCGGUGGAGGCGCUGGUGGGAUACCGCCCUGACUGUAUUGAAAUUCUAACCUACGGGUCUUAUCGACCCGGGAGACAGUGUCAGGUGGGCAGUUUGACUGGGGCGGUCGCCUCCUAAAGUGUAACGGAGGCGCCCAAAGGUUCCCUCAGAAUGGUUGGAAAUCAUUCGUAGAGUGCAAAGGCAUAAGGGAGCUUGACUGCGAGACCUACAAGUCGAGCAGGGACGAAAGUCGGGCUUAGUGAUCCGGUGGUUCCGCAUGGAAGGGCCAUCGCUCAACGGAUAAAAGCUACCCCGGGGAUAACAGGCUUAUCUCCCCCAAGAGUCCACAUCGACGGGGAGGUUUGGCACCUCGAUGUCGGCUCAUCGCAUCCUGGGGCUGUAGUCGGUCCCAAGGGUUGGGCUGUUCGCCCAUUAAAGCGGUACGCGAGCUGGGUUCAGAACGUCGUGAGACAGUUCGGUCCCUAUCCGUCGUGGGCGUAGGAAAUUUGAGAGGAGCUGUCCUUAGUACGAGAGGACCGGGAUGGACGCACCGCUGGUGUACCAGUUGUUCUGCCAAGGGCAUAGCUGGGUAGCUAUGUGCGGAAGGGAUAAGUGCUGAAAGCAUCUAAGCAUGAAGCCCCCCUCAAGAUGAGAUUUCCCAUAGCGUAAGCUAGUAAGAUCCCUGAAAGAUGAUCAGGUUGAUAGGUUCGAGGUGGAAGCAUGGUGACAUGUGGAGCUGACGAAUACUAAUAGAUCGAGGACUUAACCA
rnacentral:rRNA from 1 species